UCUUGUCAUGAUGAUUGGCUUUUUAUGUUCAACUGCUCUUAUGCCCAUGAAAGAAAUUAGCCUCUCUGAACAC
rnacentral:snoRNA from 1 species